UUAAAAUUGAUGCAGUGCAAAUAUGUCUGG
rnacentral:piRNA from 1 species